CUGAAUGCCAGAAUAUGAAAACAUUCUCAGAAGGAAUAAUAGAUGCGCCAUUAUUAGAGGGGAUUAAAACUUCAACAGAGGAUACUGACUUAACCUCCCACCAUGAUCUCAACACCACAAUCCAGACCUUGUUUCACCAACAGGUCAGGAAUCAUUAUCCACCAAAUUCAAUUGUUAUUUGUUUAUAUCUCUAAACAUAGGGGGCAUGCUAAUUAACCAAUGUCUCAACAAUAUUGAUUAAAAAAUUCGAGUUAAAAUAUGUUUGUAACUUUAAAUAAAUAUCUAAAAUUUGUGUUUGAUUCUUAAUAAUAUUUUUUUUGUGUGUGUCAUAAGUUUUUUUUUUUUUGUUAUUGGUCCUUCAUAUUUUUUAUAAUUCCUAAUAAAUUUAUAUUUAUUUGUUUAUUAUUUUUUAUUUUAGUAUUUUUUUUUAAAAUGACUAAUAACAAAUACAAAAAAUUUAUUUGGGAGUAAACAAAAACAAAUUUCUUAAUUUAUAAGACACUAAAAAAGAAUCAUUGACCAAAAAUAAGAUUGUUAUUUUAUUAAAGAUUCAAUAUAAUUUUAUUUUCCUUUUAAUUCCUUAAAUAAUGUCCUAAAAAUACUAGUUAAUCAAACCUUUAUUUUAAAAUGUACACUCUCGUUCUUUCCCUUGUACUUUAGGUAAUUUUUAAUGUAUAUAAUAUCUUAAUAGUUGUGAAUAAAUAUGAGUUAGUGUGUCUCCCAAUUAUAUAUUAUCUUUUUCUACCACUUUUAAUGUGACCACCAACUAAUUUUUAAAAACCUAUAUAUUGUUGAUCAUAAUUUUUUUAUAAAGUAGAAUGAAACUUUAAAUAUUUUUAUUAUCACCAAUGAAUUAAGUCUAAUAAAAGAGCUUAAUCGAUGUAAUAAAUUAAUUAUAUAUGUUUCAAAUUAUUGAUAAAAUAGAUGUUCACAUUUAUUAUCUGACUUAGUUUUAAAUAGAAUUGUCUCUAAAUUAAAAACUAAAAAAUAUCUCUUUAAUUGCUUAUGAAAUUUCAUCUUCUAAUCAAAGUCACAAAAUUCAUAUCAUAUGUUCGAAAUUUGUAGAUCAUGGUGAGGAUAACUGCAAGAGAAUUAUUAGUUUAAAAAAAAAACUCAUUUACAUGAUAUAGACUGAAUUAUAAUACUUAUUUAUCUUUCAAGGAAGGAGAGUGUAUAUUUUAAAAUAAGAGUGAAAGUGAAUAUAAUUUAAGCUUCUCUAGGAUAGCAGAAGGAGAUUUACUCUAAAAUAUUUCUUACGGCAUACAUUACUUACUACAUUAAAAACUUGUCAUGAUGAUAUCUUUGUUUGCUUUUACCAACACUUGUUUGAUCUUUUACCAAUAGGUUGUGUCAUAAAUCAAUAUCUCAAAAGUUUAUUUGUUUUGGACAAAGACAUACAUAUGGUUUUAUAUAUUAUAUCUCUAAUUUGCCUUUGAAUCCCUUUGAUUAGCUUGAAAUGUGGAUAAUACAAUCCAUCUACGACCUUUAGACUCUAAUACUUACUUACAAUAUAUAUCAUGAACCAAUAAUUAAUGUCACAAGAUUAAGAUUAAGCUGUUGCGUAAAGGCACAUGAAUGAUUUUAAUUAAUAAUAUAUCUCAUAUAUUAAAUUUUAAAUACAUUUUCAUUAUUACAAUGGCUAUUGUGAGAAUAACAUAUUUAUAAUGUUCUUAUUAAGUUCUAUUUGACUUAUUAUAAUUAAUAAAUUUUGUGUUUGUUAUUUUAUAAUAAUUUUUUUUCAUUGGCUCUCCUAUAAAAUAAUAAUUUUAUUUCUAUUCUUGGUAUCGUUUUUUAAUCACUAAUGAACUUUUUUUUAUAACCUGAUAUUUUUUUUCAUGUUAUUAAACAAAAAAUUAAUAAUUUAUCAUCAACUAAAAAAGGUGUCAUAAACAAAAAUAAAACUUUUGUUUUAUUAGGAAUUCAAUACAAAGAACAAUAUUUAUUAAAAAAUAAAUAUAAAAUUUAAAUAUUUAUUGAGGAUCUAAAAUAUAUUUUACCCUAAUAUAAAUGUGAGAAAAAAGGAUAAGAGAGCUACCUUAUAGAAAGAAAUUAAGUAUCUAAAUGGACCAAAAAGAUACAGCAGUCAAAUUCGUUGUAUUUGACCCGUGUAACAAGACAAAGGAUAAGGUUCAUAAUCUCCACCAUGGGUAACACAUGUUUUGAAACUUCAAACACAUUUUUUGGAAGCUUAAAACAAAAGAAUACAUUUUUAUCCUACUUAAAUUGUAAAGAAAAAAUGAAAACUUAAAUUAGAGUAAGAUCAACUUCUAUGAAUAUCCAUUUUUAUCCUCUAACUUUUUAUCUUUAUCAAUAUUUUAAUUUUUUAAUCCAUGUUUUUUUGUUAUUGCUAAUACCUUGAAGAUAGUUUAGACCAUGUCUAUUAGGACAAAACCCAGCCUUUUCACUCUUUUUUUUUUUUUUUUUAUCGUAGGCUAGUUGAGUUCAAUUUCAAUUUUAUUUUGUUUCCUCUUCACCUUCCAUUAUUUUAUUUAUAACUCAACACAAUUUUUCUUGCCUUUUUCUUUUUAUUUAUAUAUUAUUUUAUUUGUGUCUUCUUAAACCAAAAUUUAACCACAAUUGUUAUUUUCACUCAUCUUUACACACUAUGACACUUCCUUUCUUAUUUUAUACCAAAAUUACCUUGCUAAACACUAUCAUCCUCUUUCUCUUCUCUUUCUUCAGAAAAGAAAAGAAAAAGAAAAAAGGCACUCCCCUCCACAACUCUAGUAACACAUUUGACAAAUGUGAAUGAUCUUAUUAUAAUUUGCUCAUUUUUUUAAAACAAAAUACUUAUGAGAGUAGUACAAAAUAAAGAAAUAUAUUUUGAAGCAAAUUUGUUCAUGCGCGUGCCUGUCGAUAACAAAACAACUCUUAACUCAACCAUUUUUGGAUGUCUUGAAUUUUUAUAUAUAGAAUAUUUCACUAAAGCAUGGAUGUAUCUCAACCUUAUUUUUGCUUGGGUGUUUAAUUCUUAAUCUUGUUAUAUGAUAUUAUUAAGAGAAAACAAAAGGACACCAUAAGGAAUGCCCCUUCUAGAACAUACAAUGCAUGUACACAACUCAGGAUAACAUACACUUACAAAAAGAUACUCACUAAAAUAAGUUACACUAAAAGAACACAAUUUUACAAAUAAAAAAAUGCUACAGAAAUAAAAAAAAACUGAUAUAUUAUUUAUAAUAAAAAAUACCGAUAAUUUUUUAUAUUUUAGAAAUCUACUGGAGGUCCCAAACAGCUCCCUUAAUUUUACUCAACCUUUUCAUACUAAUUGGGCAUAUUAACCCAAAAUAUUAUGUUAAAGUAUAAUUGGAUAUCUAAAGCCUUAUGUUUUUUUAUUUUUUAUAAGAGGAGCACAAAACAUUCUAUCAACCUUCUUUUCUUUUCUCUUCUCUUCUAUUUUUUUUUUAAUAUUUUGGGCGGGCAUGAGCUGUUAUAUUUUGGGCUUACAUGAGCUGAAAAGUUAUGUUAUCUUUUCUCCUUAUCUUUUCGUUUCAUUACAAUUUUCUUACCAUGUGGGUCAUAGACCUUUAGUCACUAUUUUAUUCCCAUUUUGGUCUUUCUACAUUUUAGACCAUUGGAAUCCAUUCUAAAAAUAAUAAAGAAAAUAACUCCUCUAGCCCAAAUAUUAAAAGAUGCUCUUACUUUAAAUUACAUGUAUAAACUUAUUUCUAUUAGACUCGUACAAAAAUAAUAUAUCAAAAUAAAGCGCAAAAUUUAAUUAAAAAACAAAAAUGAGAAUUUGAAAUUUAACAAGAGAUAAUUGUAGAUAUCUCAAUUAAGGAGGCACAUGCAUAUAUAGUUUUCUACAAUCAAAUGUAAAUCCAAGUGGUACACACGAGACUUGUCAAGUAUCUGACGUUGAGUUUCUCUGGCUUUGAAGGUAUUUUUUGAAUAUUCAAAGCAAAUGAUCCUUGUCGAUUACCUUGAGACAACGGGUGUUAGGCGCGCCAAACCUGCUUUUCUGAAGAAUUUCUUUGGCAGUUUAAAGAAAUUAGAAUUUGAUGGAGCCAUUAAAAGAGAGAUUGUAAUUCCAUCUCAUGUACUUCCUUACUUGAAGACCUUAGAAGAAUUCAAUGUACAUAGCUCCGAUGCAGCGCAGGUAAUAUUUGACAUAGAUGACACUGAUGCCAACACCAAGGGAAUGCUCCUUCCAUUGAAAAAGCUUACUCUAGAAAGCUUGUCAAAUUUGAAAUGUGUAUGGAACAAAACCUCCCGAGGAAUUCUCAGCUUUCCCGAUUUGCAAUAUGUGGAUGUUCAAGUUUGUAAAAACUUGGUGACACUGUUCCCUUUGUCCCUUGCCCGAAAUGUUGGGAAGCUUCAGACCCUUGUAAUACAGAACUGUGACAAGUUGGUAGAAAUUAUUGGAAAGGAAGAUGCGACGGAACAUGCAACAACUGAAAUGUUUGAAUUCCCAUUUUUGUUGAAGUUGCUUCUUUUUAAGCUGUCACUGCUUAGUUGCUUUUAUCCUGGGAAACACCAUCUGGAAUGCCCCGUAUUAGAAAGCUUGGGUGUGUCCUAUUGUCCUAAGUUGAAGCUAUUCACAUCAGAAUUUCACAAUGAUCACAAAGAAGCAGUUACAGAGGCUCCAAUUAGCCGGCUACAACAACAACCUCUGUUCUCAGUUGAUAAGGUGACAAAGCAUUAUCAGUUAAACUUUCUGUGCUUCCUUUUUUUCUUAAUUUCAUAUUAUAUUUUCCUCCUUCUAACUACCACCUUACAUUUUCUUUUGAAUUUGUUUGGCCUUGCUAGAUUGUUCCCAAUCUGAAGAGCUUGACACUCAAUGAGGAAAACAUUAUGUUGUUGAGCGAUGCACGUUUGCCACAAGACCUCCUUUUCAAAUUAACUUGUCUUGAUCUAUCCUUUGAUAAUGAUGGCAUUAAGAAAGAUACUUUGCCUUUUGAUUUCCUUCAGAAGGUACCCAGCUUAGAACAUCUUCGAGUGGAAAGAUGCUAUGGUCUGAAGGAGAUAUUUCCCUCUCAGAAACUCCAAGUUCAUGACCGUUCACUUCCCGCAUUGAAACAAUUAACACUGUUAGAUCUUGGAGAGCUGGAGUCGAUAGGGUUAGAGCAGCACCCAUGGGUUAAGCCAUACUCUGAAAAGCUUCAAAUAUUAACUCUUUGGGGGUGCCCUCGAUUAGAAAAUUAGUGAGCUGUGCAGUGUCUUUCAUCAAUCUGAAAGACUUGGAAGUGAUCGACUGUAAUGGGAUGGAGUAUUUAUUGAAAUGCUCAACUGCCAAAAGUUUGAUGCAACUUGAGAGCCUAUCUAUACGAGAAUGUGAAUCAAUGAAGGAAAUAGUAAAAAAAGAAGAAGAAGAUGGUUCUGAUGAGAUCAUAUUUGGAGGCCUCAGAAGAAUAAUGUUGGAUUCAUUACCAAGGCUAGUCGGGUUUUAUUCAGGGAAUGCCACUUUGCAUUUCAAGUGUUUGGAAGAAGCCACGAUUGCUGAAUGCCAGAAUAUGAAAACAUUCUCAGAAGGAAUAAUAGAUGCGCCAUUAUUAGAGGGGAUUAAAACUUCAACAGAUGAUACUGAUCACUUAACCUCCCACCAUGAUCUCAACACCACAAUCCAGACCUUGUUUCACCAACAGGUAAGCAAUUCAUUAUCCAAAUUCAAUUCUUAUUUAGUUAUAUCUAAGUAUAGGGUCAUGCUAAUUAACCAAUGUCUGUUGUUGAUUACAAAAUUUAGG
rnacentral:lncRNA from 1 species